rnacentral:rRNA from 1 species
CACGUAGAAGGCUAGUGUUAUUCAUCUUUAUUAGGUUUAAAGGGUACUUAGACGGGAAAUCAAGCCAUAAUAGGGACUAAUUUUCUAGAGUUUUAUGAAGAAGGGACGGCGAAUUUCCGGAGGAAAGUUGAUAUUUUGUGAUACUGGAAGGACGGGUAACGGCGAAGGCAACCUUUUAUGUAAAAACUGACGUUGAGGGACGAAGCCUUGGGUAACGAGAAGGAUUAGAUACCCGGGAGUCAGAUCCAAGAUCCA